rnacentral:rRNA from 1 species
CUAAUGACGGUACCUGAAGAAUAAGCACCGGCUAACUACGUGCCAGCAGCCGCGGUAAUACGUAGGGUGCAAGCGUUAAUCGGAAUUACUGGGCGUAAAGCGUGCGCAGGCGGUUUUGUAAGACUGUCGUGAAAUCCCCGGGCUCAACCUGGGAAUGGCGAUGGUGACUGCAAGGCUAGAGUUUGGCAGAGGGGGGUAGAAUUCCACGUGUAGCAGUGAAAUGCGUAGAUAUGUGGAGGAACACCGAUGGCGAAGGCAGCCCCCUGGGUCAAAACUGACGCUCAUGCACGAAAGCGUGGGGAGCAAACAGGAUUAGAUACCCUGGUAGUCCACGCCCUAAACGAUGUCUACUAGUUGUCGGGUUUUAAUUAACUUGGUAACGCAGCUAACGCGUGAAGUAGACCGCCUGGGGAGUACGGUCGCAAGAUUAAAACUCAAAGGAAUUGACGGGGACCCGCACAAGCGGUGGAUGAUGUGGAUUAAUUCGAUGCAACGCGAAAAACCUUACCUACCCUUGACAUGGCAGAAAUCCUCGAGAGAUUGAGGAGUGCUCGAAAGAGAAUCUGCACACAGGUGCUGCAUGGCUGUCGUCAGCUCGUGUCGUGAGAUGUUGGGUUAAGUCCCGCAACGAGCGCAACCCUUGUCAUUAGUUGCUACGAAAGAGCACUCUAAUGAGACUGCCGGUGACAAACCGGAGGAAGGUGGGGAUGACGUCAAGUCCUCAUGGCCCUUAUGGGUAGGGCUUCACACGUCAUACAAUGGUACAUACAGAGGGCCGCCAACCCGCGAGGGGGAGCUAAUCCCAGAAAGUGUAUCGUAGUCCGGAUUGUAGUCUGCAACUCGACUGCAUGAAGUUGGAAUCGCUAGUAAUCGCGGAUCAGCAUGUCGCGGUGAAUACGUUCCCGGGUCUUGUACACACCGCCCGUCACACCAUGGGAGCGGGUUUUACCAGAAGUAGGUAGCUUAACCGCAAGGAGGGCGCUUACCACGGUAGGAUUCGUGACUGGGGUGAAGUCGUAACAAGGUAGCCGUAUCGGAAGGUGCGGCUGGAUCACCUCCUUUCUAG